GACCGAAGGUCAACUUAAAUUGUUCUUUGAGAACAUGGACUGGAGAGACCGAAGGUCAACUUAAAUUGUUCUUUGAGAACAUGGACUGGAGAGACCGAAGGUCAACUUAAAUUGUUCUUUGAGAACAUGGACUGGAGAGACCGAAGGUCAACUUAAAUUGUUCUUGGAGGACAUGGACUGGAGAGACCGAAGGUCAACUUAAAUUGUUCUUUGAGGACAUGGACUGGAGAGACCGAAGGUCAACUUAAAUUGUUCUUUGAGGACAUGGACUGGAGAGACCGAAGGUCAACUUAAAUUGUUCUUUGAGGACAUGGACUGGAGAGACCGAAGGUCAACUUAAAUUGUUCUUUGAGGACAUGGACUGGAGAGACCGAAGGUCAACUUAAAUUGUUCUUUGAGGACAUGGACUGGAGAGACCGAAGGUCAACUUAAAUUGUUCUUGGAGGACAUGGACUGGAGAGACCGAAGGUCAACUUAAAUUGUUCUUUGAGGACAUGGACUGGAGAGACCGAAGGUCAACUUAAAUUGUUCUUUGAGGACAUGGACUGGAGAGACCGAAGGUCAACUUAAAUUGUUCUUUGAGGACAUGGACUGGAGAGACCGAAGGUCAACUUAAAUUGUUCUUUGAGGACAUGGACUGGAGAGACCGAAGGUCAACUUAAAUUGUUCUUUGAGGACAUGGACUGGAGAGACCGAAGGUCAACUUAAAUUGUUCUUGGAGGACAUGGACUGGAGAGACCGAAGGUCAACUUAAAUUGUUCUUUGAGGACAUGGACUGGAGAGACCGAAGGUCAACUUAAAUUGUUCUUUGAGGACAUGGACUGGAGAGACCGAAGGUCAACUUAAAUUGUUCUUGGAGGACAUGGACUGGAGUGACCGAAGGUCAACUUAAAUUGUCUUGGGGGGGCCUCCCGGGUGGUGCAGUGGUAGAGGUGGUCAGAAAGAGGUCAGAGGUGAGACAGGUCUUCCUGUGCAAUAGGGUUAGCGUUAAGGCUAGAGUGACCAAAUGUCAACUUAAAUUAUUUUAUUAUAUUUGAUUGAGUACCAUGCAUGCAAGCCUAGGUCCCCAGUGUCCCCCAGCGGGGUUGGGAUCAACACUUUAGCCCCGACAAUGACAGUUCAGCAGCAGAGAAAUACAGGUUUUCUGAUUCAUGAUGUAUGGAUAAACCAUGCACUCCAGAGGGCUUUGACCAAACACAAGAGUCCUAAAUCUGGCCUGUUAUGACACAUGCCGCAAAGGUGUGUC